UGGAAAUGAAUCUUUGAAUUUAUUAAACUGAAUAUUUUAUGUGGCUUGAAAACACGAACUUAUUAACCCUGAGCUAA